GACUGAUUUCCAUCGUUAGCUAUGAGACGUCGCAUUGCAACGGCGACUUGUGGCAGAUAUUUGAAAACCCAGCGGAAUGGAAGGAAAAAUAUACCCGUCCUGAUUAUUCCAGAAUUUUCACAGAGGACAUCAUUGAGCAGGAUAAACGGCCAACAGCGGGGCAUGAGCCCCUUCUGGCAAGCGGCGUUCAUGUGGCACAGAUGAAUUUCGAGAAGAAGUGGCCGUUCUUUAUCCGGCAGUUCAUUUCACCGGUGAUUGCAAAGGUUUUCUUUGGGUACAGCACAAAGGUUUCUUCAUGGUAAACUUCAUCGCCAAACGCAGUGCAGAGGGUUUGGCCAGUCAGAAAACACGUCAUGACAAGUCAACACUCACCAUGAGCAUCGCACUCAACUACGUAGGCGUGGAUAUUCAGGGAGGUGGCUGUAAGUUGCACAGGUACAACUGCUCGAUCGAGUUUCCGAAGGAGGGGUGGAGCCUGAUGCACCCAGGCACGCUGACACACCUAUGCGAAGGCCUGCCCAUCACCAGCGGCAUGCAGUACGUGGCCAUGUCCUUUAUCAAUCCGUGACUGAGCCCUCAGCUCUCCGCCCUAUCCCCGAGAAUCCUACUACGGGACAAGAAAUGUGCCUCUCGUCUGAAUUCAGGGUGGAGACUGAACUGAUGCAUUUUUGCGAAUCCGUUUUAGAUGAGAUGUUCCUAACUUCUCGGUGACUGUCAGUCUGCGUGGCGAGAGACACAAAGAAAAAUUAAAUAACCUAUCAAUUGGGCAGAAACUUUUUGAUUUCAUUCAAUGCUGAAAGUGUCUGAAAGAUUUAAGAAGAUAAAAGCAAACGGAGAAUACAUGCCGACACAGAAAUAUAUCUGGAGGCUUUCUUAAGUAGUUCAGAGUUGCAGUGGAAGCAGUGGAAGUACUGGGAUUUCAUGCACAAUUCAAGCAAUAUUUUGUAUUUCAGGUGCUUUGUGGCACUAAUGCGAGCCCCGGUUUGAUGUGACCUUCAGCACAGACUGAUUUAAACUUGACCGCGGACCGUGAGUU